AUUAAUCAUAUUAUGUUGAUAAUUAAUAUAUUUUAUUAUAAGUGUAUGUUUUUAUAUAUUUAUAAUGUUAUAAUAUGUUAAUAUUGAUAAUUUAUUAUUAAACCGCUGCAAUAUCUUAUAAUCAACCAGUCGCAAAUAUCCCGCAAAUGCAAUAAUUUUUAAACGUUGUGCCAGUCAUACAAAACGCUUAAUAACGCUUGAAACCGCAACCACCCGCAUCCGCAAACUUCCACACCCACAACCGCAACCGCUGCGUUUAAACCAGUCGGGCCCUUAGUUGUCAUCUUUUCUUAAAUUUUAUAGGGUCGACGAUCUAUUUCCCCACGAUAACUAUCAUACAACAUUAGAUCUCCACCAAACUAAUACCUCAUGCUAAAUCCCCACGAACCUAAAUUUGUAAAUUUAUUUCUCCAUGAAUCGAUGAUUUGAAACAUAAUUAUCCAUAAAUAAUAGUUUUUAAUCGGUUUAUUGGUUUUAAUCGGUUUAAUCUUAACCAAAAAAUUUUAAAUUAAUUAAAACAAACAAAAACUUAAUUAUAUAUAUAUUUAAAGCAAAUUGAUCAUCUUCUUCACGAAACUUGAGCAUAUAUACGAAUCUAAACCUCUCCUCUCAAAUCUCAAAUUCAUUGUCAUGGCUUCCUCUAACAACUACGCUGGAAUCCUGCUCGGAAUGGGAAACCCACUCCUUGACAUCUCUUCCCUCGUCGACGACGAGUUUCUCACCAAAUCCGACGUCAAGUUGAACUAUGUGAUUCUCGCUGAGGAGAAACACUUGCCGAUGUAACCAUUGCUUUUGCUCUGCGUUUGAUAUUCGAAUAUAAACUGUAUACUAUAAUCUGUGACAUUUUGGGUCCAAAUUCGUUUGGUUGAUGAUUGAC